rnacentral:rRNA from 1 species
AAAGUCUAACCUGCCCAAUGAAUUAAUAUUUUAAUGGCCGCGGUAUACUGACCGUGCAAAGGUAGCAUAAUAAUUAGUUUUUUAAUUGAGAACUGGUAUGAAUGGUUGGAUGAGAAAAAAUCUGUCUCAAUUUAAUUUAAAUUAGAAUUUUAUUUUUAAGUAAAAAAGCUUAAAUAAAUUUAAAAGACGAGAAGACCCUAUAGAGUUUUAUAUAAAAUAUUUUAUGAAAAAUUAAGAAUAGUUUAAAUUUAUAUGAUAUUUUGUAAUUGAUUGGGGUGAUUGAAAAAUUUAAGGAACUUUUUUAUUUUUAAUUCAUUGAUUUAUGUGUUUUUGAUCCA